GGCCUUUCUGUGUGUUUUUGUCUUAUCUUUUGUGGAAUAAAAUUUAAAUGAAUAGGAGAAAAACAUAAAUCCUCUUUUGCAACCCAGAAUUCAUUGUUUGGCAUGAGUUUUGAUACAUAAAAGAAAGAAUAUU
ensembl:snoRNA